rnacentral:rRNA from 1 species
AUGAAGAUGAGCCAACAAUGGAUGUACGAUGACCGAUGCUCUCCCGAGUUCAUUAAUGGCGUGCAAACUUUUCUGCUUGCGGCUGAGGCAAACAAGCGGGCGGAUGGUUUUAUGCCUUGUCCAUGUUUAGUCUGUAAGAAUGAUCACAAUUACUCUACGUCAAGAACCAUUCACGUCCACCUGUUUAAGUCCGGUUUCAUGCCCCACUAUAAUGUUUGGACCAAGGACGGAGAAAGAGGGGUUAUGAUGGAAGACAAUGAAGAAGAAGAGGAAGACGACAGCUAUCCUGGCCAUGGGUUCCCUGAAUACGAUGAUACAACAAUGGGGGAAGAAGCUGAGCCAGCAAUGCGGGAAGAAGCUGAAGAAGAGGCAUCAGAUGAGCCCGCUGAUGAUCUAGGUCAGGCCAUUGUCGAUGUCAAGAGAAACUGCGCAAGUGAUUUGGAGAAGAAGAAGUUGCAGCGCAUGUUAGAGGAUCACAAGAAAUUGUUGUACCCGAAUUGCGAAGCUGACAAGAAAAAGUUGGGCACCACACUGGAAUUGCUGCAAUGGAAGGCAGAGAAUGGUGUAUCUUACAAGGGAUUUGUAAAGUUGCUGGUAAUGAUAAAGAAUAUGCUUCCAAAGGACAACGAAUUGCCCGACAGUACGUACGAAGCAAAGAAGGUUGUCUGCCCUCUAGGAUUAGAGGUGCAGAAGAUACAUGCAUGCCCUAAUGACUGCAUCCUCUACCGCGGUGAGUAUGAGGAUUUGAACGCUUGCCCGGUAUGCGGUGCAUUGCGCUAUAAGAUCAGGCGCGAUGACCCUAGUGAUGUCGAGGGCGAGCGCUCCAGGAAGAAGAUUCCUGCCAAGGUGAUGUGGUAUGCUCCUAUAAUACCACGGUUGAAACGUUUGUUCCAAAACAAAGAGCAUGCCAAGGCGAUGCGAUGGCACAGAGAAGACUGUAAGAAAGACGGAAAGUUGAGAGUACCUGUUGACGGGUCGCAGUGGAGAAAAAUCGAGAGAAAGUACGGGAAGGAGUUUGCAGAUGACGCACGGAACGUAUGGUUUGGUCUAAGCGCAGAUGGCAUUAACCCUUUUGGGGAGCAGAGCAGCAACUAUAGCACCUGGCCUGUGUCUCUAUGUUUGUAUAACCUUCCUCCUUGGUUGUGCAUGAAGCGGAAGUUCAUUAUGAUGCCAGUGCUCAUCCAAGGCCCUAAGUAA